rnacentral:rRNA from 1 species
CUGUAAACGAUGAAUACUAGGUGUGGGCAUGCAAGGCAUGUCCGUGCCGCAGCUAACCAAUAAGUAUUCCACGUGGGGAGUACGUUCGCAAGAAUGAAACUCAAAGGAAUUGACGGGACCCGCACAAGCGGUGGAGCAUGUGGUUUAAUUCGAAGCAACGCGAAGAACCUUACCAGCCUUGACAUCCCGAUGCAAGCUCCUUAACCGGGGCCCUUCUUCGGAACAUCGGAGACAGUGGUGCAUGGUUGUCGUCAGCUCGUGUCGUGAGAUGUUGGGUUAAGUCCCGCAACGAGGCAACCCCUGCCUGUAGUAGCCAGCACGUUAUGGUGGGAACUCUACAGGGACUGCCGGGUCAACCCGGAGGAAGGUGGGGAUGACGUCAAAUCAUCAUGCCCCUUACGGCCUGGGCGAACACGUGCUACAAUGGCACAACAAAGAGACGCGAUCCCGCGAGGGGGAGCAAACCUCAAAAUAGUGUCCCAGUUCGGACUGUAGUCUGCAACCCGACUACACGAAGCCGGAAUCGCUAUAAUCGCGGAUCAGAAUGCCGCGGUGAAUACGUUCCCGGGUCUUGUACACACCGCCCGU